GACGAACGCUGGCGGCGUGCCUAAUACAUGCAAGUUGAGCGCUGAAGGUUGGUACUUGUACCAACUGGAUGAGCAGCGAACGGGUGAGUAACGCGUGGGGAAUCUGCCUUUGAGCGGGGGACAACAUUUGGAAACGAAUGCUAAUACCGCAUAAAAACUUUAAACACAAGUUUUAAGUUUGAAAGAUGCAAUUGCAUCACUCAAAGAUGAUCCCGCGUUGUAUUAGCUAGUUGGUGAGGUAAAGGCUCACCAAGGCGAUGAUACAUAGCCGACCUGAGAGGGUGGUCGGCCACAUUGGGACUGAGACACGGCCCCAACUCCUACGGGAGGCAGCAGUAGGGAAUCUUCGGCAAUGGACGAAAGUCUUACCGAGCAACGCCGCGUGAGUGAAGAAGGUUUUCGGAUCGUAAAACUCUGUUGGUAGAGAAGAACGUUGGUGAGAGUGGAAAGCUCAUCAAGUGACGGUAACUACCCAGAAAGGGACGGCUAACUACGUG
rnacentral:rRNA from 1 species